UGGGGCUGAAGUAGGUCCCAAGGGUAUGGCUGUUCGCCAUUUAAAGUGGUACGCGAGCUGGGUUUAGAACGUCGUGAGACAGUUCGGUCCCUAUCUGCCGUGGGCGCUGGAGAAUUGAGGGGGGCUGCUCCUAGUACGAGAGGACCGGAGUGGACGCAUCACUGGUGUUCGGGUUGUCAUGCCAAUGGCACUGCCCGGUAGCUAAAUGCGGAAGAGAUAAGUGCUGAAAGCAUCUAAGCACGAAACUUGCCCCGAGAUGAGUUCUCCCUGAGACCUUGAGUCUCCUGAAGGAACGUUGAAGACGACGACGUUGAUAGGUCGGGUGUGUAAGCGCAGCGAUGCGUUGAGCUAACCGAUACUAAUGAACCGUGAGGCUUAACCUU
rnacentral:rRNA from 1 species